GAUGAACGCUAGCGGCAGGCUUAAUACAUGCAAGUCGAGGGGUCAGCAAUGACACCGGCGGACGGGUGCGUAACGCGUAUGCAACCUACCUACAUCAGGGGGAUAGCCCUAGGAAACUGGGAUUAACACCGCAUAAUAUUAUUAAUGGCAUCAUUGAUAAUUGAAAUAUUUAUAGGAAGUAGAUGGGCAUGCGUAAGAUUAGCUAGUUGGUAAGGUAACGGCUUACCAAGGCUACGAUCUUUAGGGGCUCUGAGAGGAGUAUCCCCCACACUGGCACUGAGAUACGGGCCAGACUCCUACGGGAGGCAGCAGUAGGGAAUAUUGGGCAAUGGAGGCAACUCUGACCCAGCCAUGCCGCGUGCAGGAAGACGGCCCUCUGGGUUGUAACUGCUUUUGAAUGGGAAAAUGUGUGGCUUGCGAGCUAUAAUGACGGUACCAUUAGAAUAAGCCACGGCUAACUACGUGCCAGCAGCCGCGGUAAAACGU
rnacentral:rRNA from 1 species